AGCGGCGCGCUUAACGCAUGCAAGUCGAGCGAUGAGGCUCCCUUCGGGGAGUACAUCAGCGGCAGACGGGUGAGUAACACGUAGGUAACCUGCCCUCAAGACGGGGAUAACGCCUGGAAACGGGCGCUAAUACCGGAUGACCUUAGUUGGGGAAGAUCCGAUUAAGGAAAGGCUAUGGCGCUUGAGGAGGGGCCUGCGGCCCAUCAGUUAGUUGGUAGGGUAACGGCCUACCAAGGCGAAGACGGGUAGGGGGUGUGAGAGCACGGCCCCCCACACUGGGACUGAGACACGGCCCAGACUCCUACGGGAGGCAGCAGCGGGGAAUAUUGCGCAAUGGACGGAAGUCAGACGCAGCGACGCCGCGUGGGUGAAGAAGGCCUUCGGGUUGUAAAGCCCUUUUCUGAGGGAAGAGAAAGGACGGUACCUUAGGAAUAAGCGUCGGCUAACUACGUGCCAGCAGCCGCGGUAAGACGUAGGACGCGAGCGUUAUCCGGAUUUACUGGGCGUAAAGCGUGUGUAGGCGGCGUGACAAGUUGGGCGUGAAAGCCCCGUGCUCAACGCGGGGAGGCCGCACAAUACUGUCAGGCUAGGGGGCACCAGAGGGGUGUGGAAUUCCCGGAGUAGCGGUAAAAUGCGCAGAUAUCGGGAGGAACACCCGGUAGCGAAAGCGGCACCCUGGGGUGCGCCUGACGCUGAGA
rnacentral:rRNA from 1 species